ACGUAGGAAGCAAGCGUUAUCCGGAUUUACUGGGCGUAAAGUGAGCGUAGGUGGUUUUUACAAGUCGGAUGUGAAAUCUCUCGGCUUAACUGGGAGGGGUCAUCCGAUACUGUUGAACUAGAGGACAGCAGGGGAAGGUGGAAUUCCCGGUGUAGUGGUGAAAUGCGUAGAUAUCGGGAGGAACACCAGUGGCGAAGGCGGCCUUCCAGGUUGUUUCUGACACUGAGGCGCGAAAGUGUGGGGAGCGAACAG
rnacentral:rRNA from 1 species